GAUGAAGAACGUAGCGAAAUGCGAUAAGUAGUGUGAAUUGCAGAAUUCAGUGAAUCAUCGAAUCUUUGAACGCACAUUGCGCCUUCUAGUAUUCUGGGAGGCAUGCCUGUUUGAGCGUCAUUAAACCUCUCUCAAGUAUGAUUACUUGGAUGUGAAGGAAGAGUACCUUAAACUUAAGGAGUGUUCUCCUUUGAAAUUGAUUAGCAGAUGGUAAUGUUAUUAAAUCCCUGAUGUUGUAAGAAAUAACAGUGGUUUUGUAGACUAUUAUCUAGCUUUAAAUUAUAAUUUUUAUUAUGGUUGACCUCAAAUCAGGUAAGGAUACCCGCUGAACUUAAGCAUAUCAAUAAGCGGGGA
rnacentral:misc_RNA from 1 species